rnacentral:tRNA from 1 species
AUGGCUCCUUGGUCAAGCGGUUAAGACACCGCCCUUUCACGGCGGUAACACGGGUUCGAGUCCCGUAGGCCGUA